rnacentral:lncRNA from 1 species
UCCCCAAACCAACAUCAUUUUCUUCUUUCGCCCAAAACCAGCGUUACCCACCCCCUUUAUCUUCUUCCUUCAAAUCCACCUUCCUUCAAACUAGCGCAACGCCUCUCUCGCUGGAAACUUAAUUUUUGAGCAACUCGGAACGAAAUGAUGCACGGCUGUCUCCAUCUUCUUCACCACUUCUACUGCUUUGCUAUUAUCAAUCCUUUCAAGUAACCCACAAAACAUCUAACACAAUAACUUUUUGUCCUUUUCCUUUGGUUUAGUCAAUUUUUUGGUACCAAUCAAAUUUGGUCUCUUUCUGUUGCACUCAUGUUGUUCAAUGUGGAAUUUGGUGUCGUUUUCAUAUCUCUACUAGCUUAAAAAUAAUUUCCAGGUUAGGUACGUUGUUACUUUUUUUUUUUAGUUCUGAUUUGUGGGGUUUGCUUGAUUUGAUUGCUCAAAAAUGAAAGAAAGAUUUUCAGAUUUGGCUUAAUACUUUCUCCAAUUAAUUCUGCUGCAUUUGUAAUUUCAACGUUUGGAACUAGUUUUGGCUUGAAGGAAUUAGGCGGAGCUUCGAAGGUUAUGGGUAGUGGAAUUUUGUGAUGAAAGGGGCAAUUUCUGGUAAUUUUUGGCAGCUUGAUUGUAGUUUUAGUGGCUGGUUUUAAUGGUGGUUUUACGGUGAAGUUGAUGUGGGUUAGUCAAGCCAAGAAGAGAGGCUAAGAUACGCCCAAUUAUUAAGUUUUUUCAAAAAAAAAAAAAAUCAGGCUGAAAAAGUCGAGGUUAUCCUUUUCUCUCCCCGCUUCUUAGUCUUAUAGCAUAGCUCACCAUUCAAGUAUGUCACUUUACCAGGCGCGCUUAAAAUUUUAUUAGCAAACAC